rnacentral:rRNA from 1 species
GGGCGACCCGCUGGCGGCGUGCUUAACACAUGCAAGUCGAACGGUCUACCUCGACUGAAACCUUCGGGUUGACGACGAGAUCUAGAUAGUGGCGGACGGGUGAGUAACACGUGAAUAAUCUGUCCUCAAGUCUGGGAUAACCUGGCGAAAGUCGGGCUAAUCCGAGGUAAGCUGAGAGUGUGGCAUCACACAAUCAGAAAAGGUGGCUCUGCCAUCGUUUGAGGAGGAGUUCGCGGUAGAUUAGCUAGCUGGUGAGGUAAUGGCUCACCAGGGCAACAAUCUAUAGCUGGUCUGAGAGGACGAUCAGUCACACUGGAACUGAGACACGGUCCAGACUCCUACGGGAGGCAGCAGUGGGGAAUCUUCCACAAUGGGCGAAAGCCUGAUGGAGCAACGCCGCGUGAGUGAAGAAGGUCUUAGGAUUGUAAAGCUCUGUCCUUAGGGAAGAACCGUGGGUAUAGUAAAUGCUACCCACCUGACGGUACCUUUGGAGGAAGCACUGGCUAACUACGUGCCAGCAGCCGCGGUAAUACGUAGAGUGCAAGCGUUGUCCGGAAUUAUUGGGCGUAAAGGGUACGCAGGCGGAUAAUCAAGUCAAGCGUGAAAGGUGUCGGCUUAACCGACAGACUGCGUUUGAAACUGGUUAUCUUGAGUGUAACAGAGGAGAGUGGAAUUCCUAGUGUAGUGGUGAAAUACGUAGAUAUUAGGAAGAACACCAGUGGCGAAGGCGACUCUCUGGGUUAACACUGACGCUGAGGUACCAAAGCUGGGGGAGC